rnacentral:lncRNA from 1 species
UUUUUUUUUGGUCUUUUUGUCUUUUUGUCUUUUCUAUGGCUACACCCACGGCUUAUGGAGGUUCCCAGGCUAGAGGUCUAAUCGGAGCUGUAGCCACUGACCUACGCCACAGCCACAGCAACGUGGGGUCCGAGCCACGUCUGUGACCUACACCACAGCUCACGGCAACGCCGGAUCCUUAACCCACUGAGCAAGGCCAGGGAUUGAACCCACAACCUUAUGAUUUCUAGUCAGAUUCUUUAACCACUGGGCCAAGAUAGGAACUCCCUAAAAUUUUGAUUUGUGUGGUUUUGGUGAUGUGUCUGUAGAAGUUGUAUUUUACAUUUUUAUUUUUAAAAUAUAAAAACCUAUUUUUAACCUGUUUUGGCUUUUUCUGUUUUCCUAAUCACUCAUUCUUCCCAAAAUCUGACUUCAAGAACUUUUCUUCUCUGAUCAAGCAGUGAAUGGAAAGAACAAAGGCUUUAGAAUCCCACAAUUAACAAUUCACAUCUGACUCCAACCCUGCCACUUAUGGUUGGUAUGAUGGUUAGAAAAUUACUAAUUUUUCUGAGCCAGAGCACCUUCAUAUAUAAAGUGGAGAUAAACAAAAGAAACCAACUUUAAAGGGUUGGUCUUAGGAUGAUGGUGACUAUAAAGUGGCUGACACUUAAUAUGAUCAUGGGAGAAGGAAGAAUGCCUCAUACUCUUAAAAGGAGGAGGCAUUAUUACGUUAAGUAUCACUAAGAUUUCCCUAAAAUGCCCUCUCUAUAGUUCUUUCUCAUAGUAUCCAGGAACCUUCAGGUCCAUCCUGUCUCUGCAAAUUUCCUACUCAAUAACUGCCUUGUUGACCUACAUCUCUUGAGACAAAUACGAAACUGUUUCAAUUUAGGAAAUAUAAAUUUAAUUAAAACAGAUCUCACAAACGUAUGUAAUUGGUUGCCUCACAGCUGGGAUAUUAAGUGGCUGAAGAACAGGGAGAAGGAGGGAAACUUUUUGCUUUAUCCUUUCUUAUAACUCCUGAAUUUUGAAACAUGUAAGUAUAUUACCUAGCUAAGAUUUUUUGCUUUAUUUUGUUUUUUGUUUGUUUUUAAGGGAGGCCUCAUAGUCUGGUCUGAAAUGUCCAUUGCUUUUCUUACUUCAGUAGCCAUUCAUCAAGAGCUUGGGUGAUUUAAGCACCAACCAGUCGUCAUCACUUACCUAAUAAGCUUCUCCUAGAGACAUUUCUGUUUCUGUUAUUGCUCCUACCAACACCAAAUCGUCCACAAUAAAAAUUGGUGGAAAAUCUAGUUCCCUUCCUUUUUAUAUAUUUAUAUACCCCCCCCCCCCACUUUAGUCAAUCAGUCAGUUACCACAGCCUGGGCAUUCUAUUCUGCUAGUAUUUUUCUUUCCAUUUCUACUGCAAUCUUUAUAGUUUCAGACUCUCAUUGCUUCACAUCUUAACUAAUAUUAUAUCUUCUAACACCUGGUUUUUCAACUCUACCUCUUUCUGCUGAGCCUACACCCUUGCUGCCAAGUUAAUCAUCCUAAAAGUUUGUCCCACUAACGUCAUUCCCUUUCUCAAUAACCUGCAGUCACAACUCAGUGACCACCAAAUAAAGUGUGAACACCCUCACCUGCUUAAAGGCUCUGAAAUGAGGCCCUACCCUACACUCUUCACCUUCACUGUAUACAUGGUGUUACACACCUAUUCGUACUAAACAAUUUGCCAUUUUCCAAAUAUACCUUUCACUUUAACUUCCUUGAAUACAUUUGAUACAUACCUCUUAGACAUAUUCUGUAUACUAGAUACUAUUCUACAUCCUGGGGAUACAGUGAUGAAAAAGAAAGGCAAAAAUCUCCCCCAUCUUGCAGGCCACAUCCAUCUUGGAUACCAUUUUUCCAGUGGUAGAAAUUUUAUCCAUCCUUAAAGUACUAUUGAAAUCUCUCUCUAAGAGCUAUAGCAACUCCCUUAGCCCAAGUUACUAGUUCUUUGAGCUCUCUAUAGUUAUUUAUUUACUUACUUACUUGCUUAUUUACUUGUUUUUGAUGGCAGCUCAUUCUACUUUAUAUUUUAAGUAUUCGAUAUUCUUUUUUAUUUGCUUUUCUUAUUUUUUAACUUUAUUGAGGAAUAAUAGACAAAUAUAAUUGUAUAUAUUUAAAGUACACAAGGUGAUUGUUUGCUAUACAUAUCCAUCAUCAUGGGAUGAUUAACAAGAUCAAUAUAAUUAGCAUAUCCAAAGACAUACAAAUGACCAAUAGUUAUAUGAAAAGGUCUCAAUAUCGCUAAUCAUUACAGAAAUGCAAAUCAAAACCACAAUGAGUAUUUUCCUUAAAAAGAGUUCUGGACAGCUUGGGGUCACAGACUUUUUUUUUUUUUGCAUUAAUAGUCUCCAUAAUGCUAAGCACAGUUCUUUAUUCAUAAUAAAAGUUCAGUCAUCUACUUGUCUUAAUGAUAAGCAAAUGAAACUGGGAUCCAGAGUUAUAAGCAUUUACCUGUUCCCAUUGUUCUUUUCCUAAGUUCCAGUGUAUAGUUUCUAAGCAUCAUUGACCGUCAUGAAACUAUUAUCAUCUAGCCGUUAAGAUCUGUAAUAUUUAAGCAUUUUAAUAUUGAGGAUAUUUAGAAAAACUUUAUGUGAUAUGCAACCAUAAAAUUUAAUGUAACAUUCUAAUCAAAUUUGAUCAUUUUAAUCAACAUAAACUUAAUGUAAUUAGUUAAAGCACCUCUCAUUCUAAUAUAGUAGACUUUUUUAAGGGGCCGGGGGGGUGGGCACACCUGCAGCAUAUGGAAGUUCCUAAGCUAGGGGUUGCAUCAGAGCUACAGCUGCCGGCCUAUACAGCAGCCACGCCAGAUCUGAGCCGUGUCUGCAACCUAUACCACAACUCACAGCAAUGCCAGAUCCUUAACCCACUAAGUGAGGCCAGGGAUCGAACCUGCAUCCUCAUGGAUACUAGUCAGAUUUGUAACCCACUGAGCCACAACGGGAACUCCAUAAUAGAGUAGACUUUAUAGACUUAAACAUCUUGUUCUUUCCCUUCCCUAGGAAAAGGACAAUAAUAAUUUGUAUGUAGCAAUUUUUUCUGUCAGCACUUUUUCUACAAGCACGUCUGGCUUAUACAAGUUAUUUUGAUCUCUAAUCAGACCUAUAGAAUAUAUACAGUAGAUAUUAUCUCUACUUUAAAUAGGAAGAAACUAAGAUAAGUUGCAUAAUUUACAUGACCAAAAGCUAAUGAAUGAAAAAAAUCUAGGUUUAAUUAAUAUUAUGGGCAUGAUAAUUGUCUAUUUUUCGUUAAUUUGAAAUAAUUAUGCAUUUUCUUUCUUUAGUGAAAGAAAUGAUGUCUUAAGAGAAGCUGAAAUUUUACACAAAGCUAGAUUUAGUUACAUUCUUCCAAUUUUGGGAAUUUGCAAUGAGCCUGAAUUUUUGGGAAUAGUUACCGAAUAUAUGCCAAAUGGAUCGUUAAAUGAACUCCUACAUAGGAAAAAUGAAUAUCCUGAUGUUCCUUGGCCUUUGAGAUUUCGUAUUUUGCAUGAAAUUGCACUAGGUGUAAAUUACCUGCACAAUAUGAAUCCUCCUUUACUUCACCAUGAUCUGAAGACUCAAAAUAUCUUAUUGGAUAAUGAAUUUCAUGUUAAGUUUUAAAGACUUUUUAGUUGUUUCUUCUACCCUACCAGUUUAAUACCUCUUCCUUUUCCAUAGCUCCUAAUAUAUUAUAGUGGCUUGGUUAUUCCUAGACUAUAGAGAUUGAUAAAAUUAUGGUUCAAGAGAAUUCCUGUCAUGGCUCAGUGUAAACAAAUCCAACUAGUAUCAGUUAGGAUGCGGGUUUGAUCCCUGGACUUGCUCAGUGGGUUAAGGACCUGGCGUUGCCAUGAGCUGUGGUGUAACUCGCAGACGUGCCUUAGACCAGCAUUGCUGUGGCUGUGGUGUAGGCUGGCAGGUGCAGCUCUGAUUCUACCCCUGGCCUAGAAACUUCCAUAUGCCGUGGGUGUGGCCC